CCUACGGGAGGCAGCAGUGGGGGAUAUUGGACAAUGGGGGGAACCCUGAUCCAGCGACGCCGCGUGAGUGAAGAAGUAUUUCGGUAUGUAAAGCUCUGUCAGCAGGGAAGAAAGCAAUGACGGUACCUGACCAAGAAGCCCCGGCUAACUACGUGCCAACAGCCGCGGUAAUACGGAGGGGGCAAGCGUUAGCCGGAAUUACGGGGUGUAAAGGGAGCGUAGACGGCUGUGGAAGUCUGGGGUGAGAGGAGGGGGCCCAACCCCAGGAUUGAAAUGGAAACUGGAUGGUGGGAGGACAGGGGAGGUAGGGGAAAUUCGUGGUGUAGCGGUGAAAUGCUUAGAUAUGAGGAGGA
rnacentral:rRNA from 1 species